rnacentral:misc_RNA from 1 species
CGCACAUUGCGCCCACUAGUAUUCUGGUGGGCAUGCCUGUUCGAGCGUCAUUAAUUCCACUCAAGCCUAGUGCUUGGACUUGGGAGAAUAGCUGCUACAGCUACCUCCUCAAAGAUAGCGGCGGAGUUGUGUCAUCCUCUGAGCUUAGUAAUUACUUCCUAGCUUCUGAAGACUCACAUCCCUUGCCGUAAAACCCCCAUCUUUUUUAAUGGUUGACCUCGGAUCAGGUAGGAAUACCCGCUGAACUUAA